rnacentral:misc_RNA from 1 species
UGAAAUGCGAUAAGUAAUGUGAAUUGCAUAAAUCUGUGAAUCAUCAAAUCUUUGAACGCACCUUGCACUCAUAUCCUUAUGAGUAUACCUGCUUGAGAAUCAUAAAGCAAGCUUGUUUUUCCUUGUUUUUUAAUUUAAAAAAGUUGAAGAACACGAGGGGAAGCAGACCUUGAGGCCUCAGAUAUUUACUUAUUUGUGCCUUGAAAUUUAGUCGAUGUGUUAGGCUUUGACUAAAGCGUGGUAAACUAUCGCUGGUGUCUUUGCCGCCAUACAACAACAUCGAGUGGGUUCAACUGCGCUUCGUUUCCCUUUACUGAGAACGAAACGCGACAUCAUUGAUCUCAAGUCAGGUAGGAGUACCCGCUGAACUUAA